GCGAGGAGGCUUUCGACUGAGGGCUAGCGAGGGGAGCAGGGCUGGAGCAGGGCUGAAGCAGGGCCGCGGACCCCGCACGCUCCUGCGGGCCCCGCGGAGCCAUUGCGGCCGAGGCCUCGGCCGGCGCCAGCAAAGAGCUAGCCGCAUCUUCGGGGGCAGCCGGGCAGCGGCCGGCGGCGCGGCGAGAGAGCGACUGACAAGAGGGGAUGCGAGGUCCUCCAGUAGCCUGACCUGA
rnacentral:lncRNA from 1 species